AGAGUAGGCGCAGGCAGUUGCGGAUUUACUGUUGAGGUAAAUCUGAGGAAAGUCCGGGCUCCUCAAAGACCAGACUUGCUGGAUAACGCCCAGUGCGGGUGACCGUGAGGAUAGUGCCACAGAAACAUACCGCCGAUGAAGCAAUUAGCUAACAGGUAAGGGUGCAAAGGUGCGGUAAGAGCGCACCAGCAGCAUCGAGAGGUGCUGGCUCGGUAAACCCCGGUUGGGAGCAAGGAAGGAACCAAGGUUGGUCUUUUUCCGGUUCCGAUGUUAAAACCGCUUGAGGCGUUUGGUAACAAGCGUCCCAGAUAGAUAACUGCCCUCAAAGGUGGUGAAAGCCACGUUUGAUGAACAGAACCCGGCUUAUGUCCGACUCUCUCU
rnacentral:RNase_P_RNA from 2 species